GAUGAACGCUGGCGGCGUGCUUAACACAUGCAAGUCGAGCGAAGCACUUUUGCGGAUUUCUUCGGAUUGGAGCAACUGUGACUGAGCGGGCGUACGGGUCGAGGUACGCGUAGGUACUGCUCAUACAGGGAUACAGUUGAACGGCUGCUAAUACCGCAUAGGCGCACAGUACCGCAUGGUACCGUGUGAAAAACUCCGGUGGUAUGAGAUGGACCCGCGUCUGAUUAGCUAGUUGGUGGGGUAACGGCCUACCAAGGCGACGAUCAGUAGCCGACCUGAGAGGGUGACCGGCCACAUUGGGACUGAGACACGGCCCAA
rnacentral:rRNA from 1 species